UGCAAAAUUUCAGAAGUUGUCGAAACAUGUAGAAUUGUAGAAGUUACCAAAGUCAGUCGGGAGAAAUAAUAUAUAUACAAACUGUCAAUAGUUUCAACCGUUCUAUGUUGGUUGAAAAGGCGUGAUAUGCAACAUUUAGCAAGCUGAGACUGCAUUAACUGUGUCGUGCUAAUAACAACAGUAGACGCGGGACCACAAGGUAUUUGAAGCAAAUACAGCAAUAAAGAAUGCACUGUAAUAAAAAGCUGGAUUACAUUGUCAAAAAUUAUACCAAAAAAAAAACCGUCACCGUUCAAAAAAAAAUCAACUUUUCAAAUCAUUCCCAACCCAAAUUUUUGUUUAUAAAUUGCCAUUAUUGUUGGCGGUAAAUUGAUAUUCAUAUUUGUGAGCAUAAACGUGAAUAUUUUUACUAAUUGAUCAACACUAUUACCUCUAUUUGUACGCAGUAAUAUUUUCUUUGGUUAAAACUUUCAUGAAACUUUCACGUUCAUACGUUGAAUAUUCUUUCUAAUUGAAAAACAAAAAUCCAAAGAAGCAAUGUCAACAAAUGAAACAAUACGUGGCGCGGAAGAUGAUCUUGAUUGUGGAAUUUUUCAUACGAGUUUACCAUGGGUGGCACUGGCAGUUCUUGUUGCAUUGACGGCUUACUUUUUCAAAUAUGCGAAUGUGAAGGUUUUCAGUAACAACAGCUGGGGACCUUGGCAAAGGAAUCAACAGACAGAGGAAGCUUGAUAUGGAAAAACUAUAUUUUUUAUUCAUAAUAACAUGCAAUUACUUGGGUAACAUGUAUAUAAAUCUGUUAUUCGGUGAAAAAGGUUCUCCUUCAAGUAUAUUUAAGAUUGAAUUAUCUCUUGUAAUCUUGUUUUAAUCCUCUAUCAGCUUUUUUCAAUUUGGACAAGACGCUUUAAUCGUCGGCGUACUUCCAUUCUACUGAAUCGAUUGACUGAACCCUGGCUCUUAAUUAGUCUAUCACAAAGUACAUAAUUGUCGUGUCCUUCUAAGCAAUACGUAAUAGUUUUUGUGGUAGCAAUUUUUGUGUUAAAUUUGUGUCAAUCUUAUUUUGAUCUGAAAUGACUUCCAUAUUUUCUUUAACUGAUCGACUUCAAUCAAAUGAUCUCAACAGUAUUAAAUCUUCCGUGUGUCUCGAAAUAGUGUCGACUGAAUGUUCAAAAUAAUUUGAACUUGGAGGGCCAGGAGCCUCGAUGACUUUCGCCGGCCUUGUAAACUGACCAACAUAAAUAAUUUAAUCCGAACUGUGAGUUUUAUGUUCGGUAUUGCAUAUAUUUGCUUGUUGGAGUUUGUUGUUUUGCGAAAUAAAAUUCUUUUGUAUGUAUUCAU